rnacentral:rRNA from 1 species
AGUGAACGCUGGCGGUAGGCCUAACACAUGCAAGUCGAACGGCAGCACAGUAAGAGCUUGCUCUUACGGGUGGCGAGUGGCGGACGGGUGAGGAAUACAUCGGAAUCUACUUUUUCGUGGGGGAUAACGUAGGGAAACUUACGCUAAUACCGCAUACGACCUACGGGUGAAAGCAGGGGAGCUUCGGACCUUGCGCGAUUGAAUGAGCCGAUGUCGGAUUAGCUAGUUGGCGGGGUAAAGGCCCACCAAGGCAACGAUCCGUAGCUGGCCUGAGAGGAUGAUCAGCCACACUGGAACUGAGACACGGUCCAGACUCCUACGGGAGGCAGCAGUGGGGAAUAUUGGGCAAUGGGCGCAAGCCUGAUCCAGCCAUACCGCGUGGGUGAAGAAGGCCUUCGGGUUGUAAAGCCCUUUUGUUGGGAAAGAAAAGCAGCAGGUUAAUCCCCCGCUGUUCUGACGGUACCCAAAGAAUAAGCACCGGCUAACUUCGUG